rnacentral:lncRNA from 1 species
GGAGAUGAAAAACUGAGGGAAGCACUUGAAGAAGAAACAGUCAGAUUGUUUAUUUGAUACAGAGGGUUCCACUUCCAAGUGGCUCUGAAAGCAGAAGGCGGAGUGGUACAUAAUUUCCAUGAAGUUAAUAUAAAACACAACACUUAAUCUAUUUCUGCUUCUUAAUCUUGGAGAAAUAGUCUCUGCUGCAUACUGCAUCGUGCCACUUCCAUACUCUUCAGCUUACUGAUUUCGGAUGCUGUAGUUGAAGGGAAGAGAAUUCCACAUUUAUGGCCUAGCUCUUUCAUUUCAUUUGCAGUGAGGGAGUUGAGGAAGAGUAUGUCUUCCAUUCCUAACAAAUUUUCCUCCAAGCCUAGGAACUUGGCCUUCUUCUUUCAGAGCCUUGCGCUUCUCUUCGGGUAGGUUGUGUUAGGUUCUCCUUGUAGGCUAGCCUCUGCCCUCGAGAUGGGUGCUCUGGGAAUCAUUAGAAACAUUGCUGAUAGGUAGUUGUUGAGAGUUGAGAAAAUCUUCUUUGUUGAGACCAGGUGUAGCUCCUUAUUAUUCACUUUAGGUUUAUGUGGUGGGAUGGUU